GACAGUUUGGCCGAGUGGUCUAAGGCGCUGGCUUAAGGUGCCAGUCCGAAAGGGCGUGGGUUCGAACCCCACAGCUGUCA
rfam:Perkinsus marinus ATCC 50983 gcontig_1104296651232, whole genome shotgun sequence.